AUUGAACGCUGGCGGCAUGCCUUACACAUGCAAGUCGAACGGCAGCGGACCUUCGGGUGCCGGCGAGUGGCGAACGGGUGAGUAAUAUAUCGGAACGUACCUUUCAGUGGGGGAUAACGUAGCGAAAGUUACGCUAAUACCGCAUAUUCUGUGAGCAGGAAAGCAGGGGAUCGCAAGACCUUGCGCUGAUUGAGCGGCCGAUAUCAGAUUAGCUAGUUGGUGAGGUAAAGGCUCACCAAGGCGACGAUCUGUAGCGGGUCUGAGAGGAUGAUCCGCCACACUGGAACUGAGACACGGUCCAGACUCCUACGGGAGGCAGCAGUGGGGAAUUCUGGACAAUGGGCGCAAGCCUGAUCCAGCCAUGCCGCGUGAGUGAAGAAGGCC
rnacentral:rRNA from 1 species